rnacentral:tRNA from 1 species
GCUCCCAUGGUGUAGUCCGGCCAAGCAUGAAGCCUUCUCGAGGCUUCGACUCGGGUUCAAAGAAGUCAAAGGAAAACCUUUACUGAGAAAAUCCCGAUGGGAGCA